AGAUGUUCUGGGCCGCACGCG
rnacentral:siRNA from 1 species